AUAUCGCACUCUGCUCUUCGAUAUCACUCGACGCACCGGCUUGCAAGCAGCCUCUCCCCUCGAAACCAUGGACCUGGACCUCAGCAUGCUAAUUCGCAACAGCGAAUGCUGUGGCGACGUUCUUCUAGCUUUCUAAGGAAGGCGCAGCUAUGGUCCUCGGACAGCUUAUACCACCCACAUUUUUUUUCGCCCUGCGGAUGACGUCCAACUCGACUCACCGAUGACCCUGCAUGGUUUAGGAUAAAGACGCCCAUCUCCCGGUCUGUGACAUGCUCUCCCGAGAAGAGCACCUCGGCGCCACGCAUCGAUGUAGCCUUAAGGAAGACCGCAGAUUGAGUACAAGAAUAGAUGUCGUUACAAAACAGAACGAAGAAUAUGUCGCUACAGCCCCUGUAAGGCGCCGUCCUACAAUACAUGUAUGCAAGACGUUCGUGACAAACUAAAUCAAUUUCGCAAAUAAAAAGGAAGCAUGCUGCCAAACAA